rnacentral:rRNA from 1 species
AAGAGAUCGGGAUAACACCUGGAAACAAGAUGCUAAUACCGGAUAACAACAGAUGAUGCCUAUCAACUGUUUAAAAGAUGGUUCUGCUAUCACUCUUGGAUGGACCUGCGGUGCAUUAGCUAGUUGGUAGGGUAACGGCCUACCAAGGCGAUGAUGCAUAGCCGAGUUGAGAGACUGAUCGGCCACAUUGGGACUGAGACACGGCCCAAACUCCUACGGGAGGCAGCAGCA